GAUGAACGCUGGCGGCGUGCCUAAUACAUGCAAGUCGAGCGGACGGACAGGAAGCUUGCUUCUUUGAGGGUAGCGGCGGACGGGCGAGUAACACGUGGAUAACCUACCUAUAAUACUGGGAUAACUUCGGAGAACCGGUGAUAAUAACGGAUGAUAUUUUGAACGGGAUGGAUCAAAAGAGCAACACGCUUUUGCCGUCUGAAUUAGACGGUUCCGUGCUAGAUUAGCUAGUUGGUAAGGUAACGGCUUACCAAGGCGACGAUGCGUAGCCGAUCUGAGAGGGUGAUCAGCCACACUGGAACUGAGACACGGUCCAGACUCCUACGGGAGGCAGCAGUGGGGAAUAUUGGGCAAUGGGCGAAAGCCUGAUCCAGCAACACCGCGUGGGUGAUGAAGGCCUUCGGAUUGUAAAGCUCUUUUAUUGGGAAAGAACAUCAGUAGAAUAAAAUGUGCACAUUUUGACGGUACCCAAUCAGUAAGCAACGGCUAACUACGUG
rnacentral:rRNA from 1 species